AGGGUCUAACCAAUGCAUCUAAGAUUGCCAUUCUGAACGCAAACUACAUGGCCAAACGUUUAGAGAACCAUUACCCUGUUCUCUUCCGUGGUGUCAAUGGAACGGUUGCCCAUGAAUUCAUCAUCGACUUGAGAGGCUUCAAGCAAACUGCUGGAAUAGAGCCUGAAGAUGUUGCUAAACGUCUAAUGGAUUAUGGUUUCCAUGCACCCACCAUGUCAUGGCCUGUCCCGGGCACACUCAUGAUCGAACCCACAGAGAGUGAAAGCAAGGCGGAGUUGGAUAGAUUCUGUGAUGCCCUUAUUUCGAUCAGAG
rnacentral:misc_RNA from 1 species